rnacentral:rRNA from 1 species
ACGAACGCUGGCGGCGUGCUUAACACAUGCAAGUCGAACGGAAAGGCCCUGCUUUUGUGGGGUGCUCGAGUGGCGAACGGGUGAGUAACACGUGAGUAACCUGCCCUUGACUUUGGGAUAACUUCAGGAAACUGGGGCUAAUACCGGAUAGGAGCUCCUGCUGCAUGGUGGGGGUUGGAAAGUUUCGGCGGUUGGGGAUGGACUCGCGGCUUAUCAGCUUGUUGGUGGGGUAGUGGCUUACCAAGGCUUUGACGGGUAGCCGGCCUGAGAGGGUGACCGGCCACAUUGGGACUGAGAUACGGCCCAGACUCCUACGGGGGACAGCAGUGGGGAAUAUUGCACAAUGGGCGGAAGCCUGAUGCAGCAACGCCGCGUGCGGGAUGACGGCCUUCGGGUUGUAAACCGCUUUCGCCUGUGACGAAGCGUGAGUGACGGUAAUGGGUAAAGAAGCACCGGCUAACUACGUG